CAGCCAGACUGGAACUGAGACACGGUCCAGACUCCUACGGGAGGCAGCAGUGAGGAAUAUUUCACAAUGAGCGAAAGCUUGAUGGAGCAAUGCCGCGUGCAGGAUGAAGGCCCUCGGGUUGUAAACUGCUUUUAUAAGAGAAGAUUAUGACGGUAACUUAUGAAUAAGGGACGGCUAACUACGUGCCAGCAGCCGCGGUCAUACGUAGGUCCCGAGCGUUAUCCGGAGUGACUGGGCGUAAAGAGUUGCGUAGGCGGUCAAGUUAGCGAGCGAUGAAAACUAUCGGCUCAACCGAUAGCUUGUUGUUCGAACUGCUUGACUCGAGAGUAUCAGAGGUCGCUGGAAUUCCUAGUGUAGCAGUGAAAUGCGUAGAUAUUAGGAAGAACACCGAUGGCGUAGGCAGGCGACUGGGAUAUUUCUGACGCUAAGGCACGAAAGCGUGGGUAGCGAACCGGAUUAGAUACCCGGGUAGUCCACGCCGUAAACGAUGGAUGCUAAUUGUUUGAGGUAUCGACCCCUCGAGUAAUAAAGCUAACGCGUUAAGCAUCCCGCCUGUGGAGUACGGCCGCAAGGCUAAAACAUAAAGGAAUUGACGGGGACCCGCACAAGCGGUGGAUCGUGUUCUUUAAUUCGAUGCUAAACGAAGAACCUUACCAGGGCUUGACAUCCAGGGAAUUUUUGGGAAACCAAUUAGUGCCUUUUGGAACCCUGUGACAGGUGAUGCAUGGCCGUCGUCAGCUCGUGUCGUGAGAUGUUUGGUUAAGUCCAUCAACGAGCGCAACCCUUGCAACUAGUUGGAUUUUUCUAGUUGGACUGCUUCGGUAACGGAGAGGAAGGAGGGGAUGAUGUCAGGUCAGUAUUUCCCUUACGUCCUGGGCUAGAAACACGAUACAAUGGCUAGUACAAUGCGCAGCAAAGCCGCGAGGUGGAGCAAAUCGCAUCAAAGCUAGUCCCAGUUCGGAUUGGAGGCUGAAACUCGCCUCCAUGAAGUCGGAAUCGCUAGUAAUCGCAGAUCAGCACGUUGCGGUGAAUACGUUCCCGGGUCUUGUACACACCGCCCGUCAAACCAUGAAAGUGACCAACACCCGAAGUCCGAUUCGUCGGCCUAAGGUGGGGGGCAUGAUUGGGGUUAAGUCGUAACAAGGUAUCCGUACCGGAAGGUGCGGAUG
rnacentral:rRNA from 1 species